rnacentral:rRNA from 1 species
UACGUAGGGUGCGAGCGUUAAUCGGAAUUACUGGGCGUAAAGCGUGCGCAGGCGGUUUUGUAAGCCAGGUGUGAAAUCCCCGGGCUCAACCUGGGAAUGGCAUUUGGGACUGCAAGGCUGGAGUGCGGCAGAGGAGACUGGAAUUCCCGGUGUAGUGGUGAAAUGCGUAGAGAUCGGGAGGAACACCAGUGGCGAAGGCGGCCGGCUGGGGGUGCCCUGACGCUGAGGCGCGAAAGCGUGGGGAGCGAACAGG